AGUGCAACUGCUGGAUCAUAUGGUAUGUUCAGUUUUUUAGGAAACUACCAAACUGUCUUCCAAAGUGGCUAUACUGUUUUGCAUUCCCAAUAGCAAU
rnacentral:pre_miRNA from 1 species